CAGGCUUAACACAUGCAAGUCGAGGGGCAGCAUGGUCUUAGCUUGCUAAGACUGAUGGCGACCGGCGCACGGGUGAGUAACACGUAUCCAACCUGCCGUCUACUCUUGGACAGCCUUCUGAAAGGAAGAUUAAUACAAGAUGGCAUCAUGAGUCCGCAUGUUCACAUGAUUAAAGGUAUUCCGGUAGACGAUGGGGAUGCGUUCCAUUAGAUAGUAGGCGGGGUAACGGCCCACCUAGUCUUCGAUGGAUAGGGGUUCUGAGAGGAAGGUCCCCCACAUUGGAACUGAGACACGGUCCAAACUCCUACGGGAGGCAGCAGUGAGGAAUAUUGGUCAAUGGGCGAGAGCCUGAACCAGCCAAGUAGCGUGAAGGAUGACUGCCCUAUGGGUUGUAAACUUCUUUUAUAAAGGAAUAAAGUCGGGUAUGCAUACCCGUUUGCAUGUACUUUAUGAAUAAGGAUCGGCUAACUCCGUGCCAGCAGCCGCGGUAAUACGGAGGAUCCGAGCGUUAUCCGGAUUUAUUGGGUUUAAAGGGAGCGUAGAUGGAUGUUUAAGUCAGUUGUGAAAGUUUGCGGCUCAACCGUAAAAUUGCAGUUGAUACUGGAUAUCUUGAGUGCAGUUGAGGCAGGCGGAAUUCGUGGUGUAGCGGUGAAAUGCUUAGAUAUCACGAAGAACUCCGAUUGCGAAGGCAGCCUGCUAAGCUGCAACUGACAUUGAGGCUCGAAAGUGUGGGUAUCAAGCAGGAUUAGAUACCCUGGUAGUCCACACGGUAAACGAUGAAUACUCGCUGUUUGCGAUAUACGGCAAGCGGCCAAGCGAAAGCGUUAAGUAUUCCACCUGGGGAGUACGCCGGCAACGGUGAAACUCAAAGGAAUUGACGGGGGCCCGCACAAGCGGAGGAACAUGUGGUUUAAUUCGAUGAUACGCGAGGAACCUUACCCGGGCUUAAAUUGCAGAUGAAUUACGGUGAAAGCCGUAAGCCGCAAGGCAUCUGUGAAGGUGCUGCAUGGUUGUCGUCAGCUCGUGCCGUGAGGUGUCGGCUUAAGUGCCAUAACGAGCGCAACCCUUGUUGUCAGUUACUAACAGGUUCUGCUGAGGACUCUGACAAGACUGCCAUCGUAAGAUGUGAGGAAGGUGGGGAUGACGUCAAAUCAGCACGGCCCUUACGUCCGGGGCUACACACGUGUUACAAUGGGGGGUACAGAGGGCCGCUACCACGCGAGUGGAUGCCAAUCCCCAAAACCUCUCUCAGUUCGGACUGGAGUCUGCAACCCGACUCCACGAAGCUGGAUUCGCUAGUAAUCGCGCAUCAGCCACGGCGCGGUGAAUACGUUCCCGGGCCUUGUACACACCGCCCGUCAAGCCAUGGGAGCCGGGGGUACCUGAAGUGCGUAACCGCGAGGAGCGCCCUAGGGUAAAACUGGUGACUGGGGCUAAGUCGUA
rnacentral:rRNA from 1 species